CAGUGUGAGAAGGAAUUUCAUGUUGGCUGCUUGCGUAGAAGUGGACUGUGCGAUUUAAAAGAACUCCCAAAAGACAAGUGGUUUUGCUGUGAUGACUGCAGUAGGAUUCAUAUAGCUCUACAAAAUUCGGUAUCACUUGGACCCAAGAUUGUUCCAGCUUCAUUAUCACAUAUCAUACUUAAGAAGCAUGCAUAUAAAGGAUUGUUUAUUGAUGGAGUAGAGGAUGAUAUUCAAUGGCGAAUUCUAAGUGGAAAAAGUUGAUAUCCAGAACAUCUGCCAUUUCUAUCAAGGUCUGCUGCUAUUUUCCGGGAGUGUUUUGAUCCUAUUGUAGCAAGAUCUGGUCGUGAUUUGAUUCUUGUUAUGGUGUAUGGAAGAAACAUUUCUGGUCAAGAGUUUAG